UACAGAGGGGGCAAGCGUUGUUCGGAAUUACUGGGCGUAAAGGGCGCGUAGGCGGCCUUCUAAGUCGAACGUGAAAUCCCCGGGCUCAACCCGGGAACUGCGUCCGAUACUGGAAGGCUUGAAUCCGGGAGAGGGAUGCGGAAUUCCUGGUGUAGAGGUGAAAUUCGUAGAUAUCAGGAGGAACACCAGUGGCGAAGGCGGCUUUCUGGACGGUAACUGACGCUGAGACGCGAAAGCGUGGGGAGCAAACAGG
rnacentral:rRNA from 1 species